rnacentral:lncRNA from 1 species
CAGGGAGACCAGAUCCUGAGGGGCACCCAGGAGCCUGUCAUCACCGCAGGUGGGUCACCACCCUCUCUUAGCUGGAAUGGCCCCUGUCAUCCCUGAAAAGUGCGGGUGAUGCCCAUGAGGGGUCUAAUAAGAGCUACAUUUGGUCUUUGUGCCCAGUUGCUGGCACAGAGCUCCUGAAACCCUUGGAAUUUCCUGAGUGAUAGGCAUGUCGGUAUUCAUAAGGUGCCCAUUUUGAGCACACCUGAGUUUAUGCUAAUGAGGUGACCUAGUGUGGGGCCGCUCCAUAGCCUCAGGAUGGGGCUGGUCACCAAAAAGACGAAGUGGUUAGGAGCUCUGAACUUUCAGCCCCAUGCACCGACCUCCAGGAAGGGGAAAAGGAAGGAGCUGCAGAUAAGUCCUAUAAAAACUCUUGAGGAAUGAGAUUUGAUGAGUUCUGGCUUGGUGAAGGCAUCCAUAUGCUGGAAGGGGGUGCACCCCAGUCCACGGGGACAGAAGUUCCUACUCUUGGAACCCUCCUGGACCUCGUCCUAAAGACCUCUUCAUUUGGUUGUUCGUCUAUAUCCUUUACAAUAAACUGGCAAAUUAUCUGUCUUUUGCUGAAAUUGGAAAAAGUCUGCUGGGCUAUCAUUUUAGAACACAGAACAUUUCCAUUCCUUAGAAAAAAAUGUUUCUAAAGAAGUGUCUCGACUGGAGGCAGAGUGGAGACUCAGGGAUGGUUCUGAGCCUUACCUCCAGCUUCUCAACAAAUCUUGUUGGCUGCUAUGUAGUGUAAACCCUGACGGUUGAUUUUUUCCUUUUUUUUUGGAAUACAAGUGGCUGACAAGCUUUGAUUGCUGAGACAUCCACUUCAAAGAGGCAUCCACUUCAAAGACGGCUAUCUCAAAUAGACAUGCUGCCAGCCACACACUAGAUAAAGAGCAGGGGGUUCUUCGCCUGCUGAGGCCCCCUUGUUUUAGAGAACUCGGUUGAUUUCAAUAACUAACCAUUUCGGCCAAGUGUUUUCUUUUCUUCCCAGGCUUUAAAUUCCCCUUCUUAUAUUUUAAAUUCACCAAUAAAGAGUGAGCCCAUUGAAACCCUACGCCCCCACCCUCUCAAUCCCAGUAAAAGCAGGGCUGCACUCUCUCUUUCCACCUGUGACCUUGCUGUGCAGCCCCAGGUGUGCUAUGUAUUUCCAGGUCCUGUAAUAA